GCAUGUUGUUUUAUUCGAUAACCCACGAUAAAUUUUACCACUUCUUGCAUAGUCAGGUUAUAUAUUAUUAUAUAUUGAUUACAGGUGUUGCAUGGCUGUCUUUAGUUCGUGUUGUGAAAUGUUAGGUUAAUUCCGAAAACGAACGCAAACCUUAUCUUUAAUUAUUUAUUAUUUAAUUGUUUUUGUUUAAAAAAAAAGUUAAGUUGUUUAUUAAAGAAAUGUCUAUCGAUAUUAUAGAAUAACUAGGAUGAAGACAAGUCCUCAUGACCCUUAUGAAGUGGGCUACAGACGUGCUGCAAAAGUUUCUACAAUGGGAUGCAAAGAUUAAAAUCAGAGCUAAUCCCUAAAAGAUAUUUUAGU
rnacentral:rRNA from 1 species